rnacentral:rRNA from 1 species
GAUGAACGCUGGCGGCGUGCCUAAUACAUGCAAGUCGAGCGAACGGACGAGAAGCUUGCUUCUCUGAUGUUAGCGGCGGACGGGUGAGUAACACGUGGAUAACCUACCUAUAAGACUGGGAUAACUUCGGGAAACCGGAGCUAAUACCGGAUGAUAUUUUGAACCGCAUGGUUCAAAAGUGAAAGACGGUCUUGCUGUCACUUAUAGAUGGAUCCGCGCUGCAUUAGCUAGUUGGUAAGGUAACGGCUUACCAAGGCAACGAUGCAUAGCCGACCUGAGAGGGUGAUCGGCCACACUGGAACUGAGACACGGUCCAGACUCCUACGGGAGGCAGCAGUAGGGAAUCUUCCGCAAUGGGCGAAAGCCUGACGGAGCAACGCCGCGUGAGUGAUGAAGGUCUUCGGAUCGUAAAACUCUGUUAUUAGGGAAGAACAUAUGUGUAAGUAACUGUGCACAUCUUGACGGGACCUAAUCAGAAAGCCACGGCUAACUACGU